UUCGUAGUGACCUGCGGAGGAUCAUUAACGAAUUUCUCAAAGUUGCUUACAGCGUUGUGCGGUCAUUCGCAUAUGUUGAAGGUAGCUCUUGAGCAUUUCACACAUCCCCUGUGCACCUUAAGAGGGUAACUGUUUUAUCUUGAGCGCGUUGUGCUCGAUAGGACGUGUUGCCCUCUCUUUACAAAAUCUUAUGUCUAGAAUGUCUGAUAAAAUUAAACAAAAUAACUUUCAACAACGGAUCUCUUGGCUCUCGCAUCGAUGAAGAACGCAGCGAAAUGCGAUAAGUAAUGUGAAUUGCAGAAUUCAGUGAAUCAUCGAAUCUUUGAACGCACCUUGCGCUCCUUGGUAUUCCGAGGAGCAUGCCUGUUUGAGUGUCAUGAUAAUCUCAAAUCAACAUUUUAGUUAAUCUAAUUUGUUGACUUGGACUUGGAGGUUGUGCUGAUUUUAUUAUUGGCUCCUCUUAAAUGCAUUAGCUGGAUUACUAUCAGUAAUAGUCCAUGGUGUUGUAAUCUCGGCGCUGUGACUUAACUAAUACAAUCUGCUUCUAAAAUAGUUGCCUUUGGCAAUAUUUGCAAACUUGACCUCAAAUCAGGUAGGACUACCCGCUGAACUUAAGCAUAUCAAAAGNCCGGAGGAA
rnacentral:rRNA from 1 species